GGUCUCAGUUCAGAUUGCAGGCUGCAACUCGCCUGCAUGAAGUUGGAAUUGCUAGUAAUCGCGAAUCAGAAUGUCGCGGUGAAUACGUUCCCGGGCCUUGUACACACCGCCCGUCACACCAUGAGAGUCGAUAACACCCGAAGCCUGUGAGCUAACCGUAAGGAGGCAGCAGUCGAAGGUGGGGUUGAUGAUUGGGGUGAAGUCGUAACAAGGUACC
rnacentral:rRNA from 1 species